UUUUUAAUUCUAUAUGUAAGACCCCCUUUCGGGGACCCCCACUCUAGUCUCGGGAGUGUGAGAGCACCCAAAGAAACACGAGGACCC
rnacentral:pre_miRNA from 7 species